rnacentral:rRNA from 1 species
UACAGAGGUCUCAAGCGUUGUUCGGAUUCAUUGGGCGUAAAGGGUGCGUAGGUGGCGCUGUAAGUCGGGUGUGAAAUUUCGGAGCUUAACUUCGAAACUGCAUUCGAUACUGCCGUGCUUGAGGACUGGAGAGGAGACUGGAAUUUACGGUGUAGCGGUGAAAUGCGUAGAUAUCGUAAGGAAGACCAGUGGCGAAGGCGGGUCUCUGGACAGUUCCUGACGCUGAGGCACGAAGGCCAGGGGAGCAAACGGG